rnacentral:lncRNA from 1 species
GUUUUUUCCUUCUAGGAAUUCGACUCAGCACUUCUCCCAAAAAGUAGGGCUGUUGCAGAGCUGAUAAGAUGNUUUCUGGAAGUUCUUCUGAUGAUGAAAUGGUAAUGAUUCAUCAUUCUAAGGAAAAAAAAGAAAGAAAGAAAGCGCCAACUGGAAACUGAGAGGUAUCAAGUCAGCUUUGCAGCUGUUUGGAGGAGUGGAUGUUGACCCUGCCUAAUGCCUUGGAGUAUUGCUGGAAGAAGCAAGCUGGAAAUCCGCUGUGUUUCAUACCCUAGGCCUGUCUCAAGUAACGCCCAGCCUCUGUCAAGGAACUCUUGUCCACGGCAAAGGAUUCUGGGGUGCCUUUUAGGAGAUGCACGUAUCGGUCCCAUGGAACAUCGCCCAGGCCUGAGGUUCACAGCUGCUUGUCAUCUGGCGGCCCAGGGAUGCUGUCCACGGCCUCGACCAUCCUGCGGC